rnacentral:rRNA from 1 species
AUGCCUCUCCGGCGACUGUGCCUGUGCGGCCUAUGCAUGUGCCUCCUCCUGGCCGUCGCCUUCGCUGGCGGACGAAGCCCCCGACCGCAAGAAGCCACUGUUUUGGCCCGCGGCGACUGCUACAAGACGGUGACCGGUGUGCCAAGAUCAUGUGCUGGGCAGUUGAUCCGGGCGCUCUUCUCCGGCGACAAGCACAUCAUCACCGACUACUGCUGCGGGCAGCUCGCCUGCGUCGGCGAGUCCACGUGCGCCUCCGCGCUCCGUGGCGUCUGCCCAUACCCGGAGAAGAAUCUGCCAUGCCCGCCGCACCAGGUU